AAUGGCUGCAGUAAUUUGACUGUACAAAGGUAGCAUAAUCAUUAGUUUUUUAAUUAAAAGCUUGUAUGAAAGGUUGGACGAAAUAAAAUCUGUCUCUUUUUAAUAUAUUAGAAUUUAAUUUUUAAGUUAAAAAGCUUAAAUUUUUAUAAAAGACGAGAAGACCCUAUAGAGUUUUAUAAUUUUGGUUUAAUAAUUGAUUUAGAUUUAUUAAUUUUUUUUUACAAAAAUUAUUUUAUUGGGGUAAUAAAAAGAUUUAAUAAAUUCUUUUUUUUUAAAAUCAUUAAUUUAUGAAAAUUUUAUGAUCCAUUAAAUUUUGAAUAUAAGAUUAAAUUACCUUAGGGAUAACAGCGUAAUUUUUUUUAAGAGUUCAUAUCGAUAAAAAAGUUUGCGACCUCGAUGUUGGAUUAAAGAUUAAUUUAGGGGUAGAAGUUUAAAUUUUUGGUCUGUUCGACCAUUAAAUCUUUACAUGAUCUGAGUUCAAACCGGUGUAAGCCAGGUCGGUUUCUAUCU
rnacentral:rRNA from 1 species